rnacentral:lncRNA from 1 species
CUUUGCUACCGCCAGGCUCCUGACCCCAGCUUGGACAGCAGGCCGCCGAGCGCCCCUGACGCCCGUUACCGAGAUGGCUGCGCAGAAGGGUAACCCAGAAUGACAUCUAUGCCUUUCAUCUGUAAAAUAACAACAACAGUGGGCUCUGGGAACACAGACUAAGACUCCUUAACCACAGCCAUAGGGGGUAGGGUGAGGAAGGCAUCCAGAAGGAGUGAGCCAGCAGACAGGAGAGGGUACAGGUAGGGACUACAUAAUGGAAGGGUUUAUAUCAGUGUGUCAGAGAAAGAAGAUUCAAGAAAGAGAUUGGUGAUUUACUGAAAUCCUCAUUGCUGGCUUCAUCCUUAUUCUGAAGAUCCUACGAUGCCUGGAGAAAUUCUAGGCCUCACAUCUGGAGUGGCUGUGGGGCUGUGAUCUCUCCUAGAACCUCAGAGGCAUGAAGCUAGAAUAUCUUCCCCUUCAAGGAGAAUAAGCCAAGGGUAUAUGAGACAAGGACCUGGGGAGUUGGCCUCUUUGGUUCAUUCUUUGUACUGUUUAUCUAUGGUUGUUGCGGCCUUUGUUGAUGACAUUCAGCAUUGACUUCUUGGGUAAGGUAUUCAGUAGUUAAGAUUCAAUGACUCCAGUGAAAGGUAUGUUUCCAUCGUGAUGUUCUUCUUCUGGACAAUAAGUGAAAAGAGCAUGUGAGUACCUCUCUCACUCCCAGCAAAUAAUUGUUGUGUCACCUCCACAUGUUUCUUCACGAUUCGAGGCUUUGAUUUCCCCUGCAAGACAAAAUGCAAUGAAGUGAUACAGAAAAAAAGAAAUUCUAUGCUGUCAUCACACUAGACCAUGAUGUUGAUUUAUGGAUGGUCUGCUUUCUUAUAUGCACUUAAUAUUUUUGUACAAGCAAACCUGAAAAGUGUCAAAAUCCCCUUUAACAGAUUAACAGGCUGAGAUGGGUUAAAGUGAGCAAGCCGGGAAGUGGUGGAGCUGGGAUCCACACCCUGGUCUGUCUGAGUCCAGAUGUAAUCAUCUUGCAUUCACUAUGGCAUGUUUCCCUUAUGUUAAGGGUUGCUGACAUAGACAGUGCAUGUCAUUCCUUUUGGUAUGGUCUUCCUCCUUUCUAGCUUUUUUCUGCCUGGAAGAUCCAGGCACCCAAGAGAAUGGAGCUUCCAUGUAAAUUUGCAGAAUCCCUAGGAUGAAAGCGGAGAGGAUCUACCCUGAAACCAACAAGUCUAGGAUGCACAUCUCUGCCUUUUUUUCAGAAUUAGGAAGGGGCAGGCAGAUGGGCAAUUGACAGGAAUAGUAGAAGCAUCCUCGGGGAAGUUGGCUACUUUACUUAGUGAGAAAGCAAUGGAAAGUGACAUUUGUAACUGAGUUUUAAGUGAAGUACAGUCCUAAGAGAGGAGCUCUGAAAAACAGCUGUUACCUGAGAUUGGGAAUGUUAAAGACCUUCUCAGAGCCUGACUGUACUCACAGCUGGACCUAGCUAUCAGAAGAGGGACUGCAACAUACCUGAGAAACUUUCAGAAUACUUAACGGAAGCAGAGUCAGGGGAAGUGAUUUUGAUAGUAGUCCAUGAGAAAAAAAUACGGUGUUUUAAAAUGCAAAUGAACUAAAAUUUAAAUCCUGCUCUCUCAGUAGCUAUGCAGCCUUAGGCGAGUUAAUAUCUUUGACCUUAGUAUUUCUCAGGUGUAAAGAGGGAUAAUUACCUACUCAGAACUUCACCUCUCCCAAGAAAGCUUUCCUGACCAUGUGCUGGCCCUUCCUUUACAUUGGGAUUAAAGUACCCCCCCCCGUUUUUCCAGGCUUUCUUGACUUUAAUUCUGUCAUAGCUCUAAUUAAGAACCUCUGUAAUGAUCUGUCUGCAAGCUUGUGAGAAAUUUGAGGACUGGGAACCAGCCUGAAACAUGUCUGUUCCCCUCUGAGUCAACACAGUGCCUGGGAUCUGGUGUCCAGUAGGGAUUUAAAGCAUAUUGAUUGAAUGAGAAAUGAUGACAGGAUCUACAUGGAUCACAAAGGAUAGUUGUUAUUUUACCUGUUAACUAUUUAAUAGCGAAAUUAAAUGAAAUAUGAAUUAACCUAGGACCAGGGAAGGUGGGGUAAGUUGUGUCUUUCACAUCAACCUUCAUAUGUUCCCCAAUUUUUUCUUCCUUCAUGUACCUAGGACACUCUUGUUCAAACACAAAGGUGGUUUUAUUUUGGGUCUAUACUAGCUAGUUCCCUAGAAAGGUCUUAAAUACAAAAUGAAUGGAAUACAAAAUAACCUCCCUCAUUGUUUUUUUUCCCGGACAAAUGACAGGAUGCAUACAGAACUGCUACUUUUGUGAUGUUGCAAGUAAUGGUAUAGAUGUGCACAAAUCAUGGAUGUGGUCCCAGUGAUCCAUGGAAAUGUGAAGUCCAGCUAUAAUGGCUCCUGCUAGAGUAUUAGCUCCUGAUGGUAGGGAUCUUUGUCUCUUGCUCACUGGUAUAUCUCAAGCAGCCCAGAUCUCAUCUCUGGUGAGCAUACAUUGGAGUCACUCAGAAAAUACCUGUGGAUGUAAUGAAUGUGUUUGUGUCCUGUGCUAGAUGGGAGACUUGUGAGAGAAAGGGCCAUGUGUUGUUGGUCUUUGUAAACCUACCAUCCACACUCUCUGAUACAACCAGAAGGGCAGUACUGAAUAGUCGUUGAAUUAAUUAAUCUUUUGAAAAUGACACUUAUAGGGAAAACAUUCUCUUUGCAUUCUGCAGCUUUUCCAGUGGUUGCCAUUUGUUUCGGCACCAUAUAGGUACCAGAUGCCAUAGGCAGAAUCUGGCACCAUAUAGGUACCAAAUGCCAUAGAAAGGCAGCCAUGGGAUACCUGAAGGCCAGAAGUCUGAUUCAUUUUCCGUGGCAUCUUCACAGGGUAGCACAGUUCCUACCACACAGCAUGACUUGUGGUGGUGUUUUCAGAUCUUGGUCAUUCAUUGCCUAAAUUGUUUUGGUUUUAUCUGGACAGGACAUAUACUAUGAUUUACAUAUUGCAUUUUAUUUUCACAAGACAGUGGCUUUCAGAAAGAAACACAAUUAUAUAAUUAAACACAAAGCAGAACGAUUUACAAAAAAGUUGAAAACAAAGUGGAAGCUAUUGUUUUGUAAUAGGAUACAUAACAAUGGAUGGGCUAUAGUAGGCACUUCAUGUACCUUUUUUAUUUAACCCUAAUGAAAACCCUUCAAUCACAAUGUUGUCAUUCCCAUUUUCAAAAGAGAGAAGAUUGAGAUCUAAGGCCUUAUGUAACUUGGCCAGUAUCUGACAGCUAGGAGGUAUCUGAAUGAGGUGGAAUCUUCCAGGCUCAUUGAUGAGAACACUCCACAAAGAUGGCCGUAUAGGCAGACCCCCACCGCUUAACUUGCCCCUGGAGUUCUCUCUGCUCCCCUCCCCGUUUCUCAUGCACACAUCUCUGCAACAUUUUCCUCCCAUCUCCUAAUACUUUCAGAAGCUCCUCGUCUUAGAGGUUGUUCUCCUGCUCCUUUGGUCAAGUGCUGGAAAAUUCAACACUAAUUUCUGCAGAGGUAGAGGAAUGGAGUUUGUUUCAAGUCCUUGUGAAGGGAUAGAAUGAUUGGUACUUACAGCUGCUUCAAGGUCUUGAUGAGGCUGGAUCUGGAGGAGGGUCUUUUAUGCAAGCUAGUCCCUGCAUGAGAGGAUUCCGGUCUUGGAAGGAUGCCUUCCCCUCCACAAAGACAUCUGGCCAGCCCACAAGGAAGAUAGUUUACUUAUCAAUGACACUGUGUACCCACAGGCUCAGGCCAGUUUCGUCAGAAGCAGAACAGGCUUUCCAAGGUCACCAAGCUGUUCUAAACUUCACCGAUUCAUUAGAGAAAGGCAACAAGACAGAGGCAUGUUUGGUAUCAAAAUUGUGAUCAGGAAGAUGGCUGCAUUCCCUGUUCCAUGGUAAAACAUCUCAUACCACCAAUGAACUCAGCCAGUUCUAGAGAGAUUUCCACCAUGAUAGAACGUUUCUGACUGUGGGCUCAGGGCCAGCCAUUCUCUGGGAGUGCAAGAUGGAAAAAUAUGAGGCUUCCCUUUCCUCUUUUCAAUCUUUUUCCAGGUUAUUUAUUUCGCGGCAAGUUUGAAAAUCAGUAGUUCUGUUAGGAGUUUUCCUACACUACAAUAGUAUAUCCUAUGAGUGAAUAGCCAUCACAAUCUUAGAUUCUUUCCCUUUAGCUUUGAUCAAAUAGCUUUUACUACCAAGCUACAUCGCAGAAGGAAGCAUCCUUGAUUUUUGUGUCAGAUGAACUUCUCAUUGUGUAGAAUUCACAAAAUUCUAAUAAAGAAAUUAUAUUGUGGGAAAAUGGUAUUGCUUUACUGCAAUAUCAGAAUAUAUAAUAAUUGCUUUUUCAGGGCCCACUAUGUAUCAGGUGUUUUAUAUAUCUUACUGAUAGUUUUCUUAAAAUCCCUGUGACGUACGAAUCUUUCUUCCAGUUUCACAGAUGAGGAAAUUUAGGCUCAGAAGGAUAGAUUACUUGUCCCUGUUCACACAGCUCGGAGGUGCAGAGCUGGGAUUUAAGAGGCAUGCAUCACAAUCCAUUGCCUACAUUGGUCAGCGGUAUUCCUACAUUUUACAUAGUCUUGGAAAGAAAUCCCUGUGUCUCUGAAAGUCACUAAUGUAAAUUUUAAAAUUCCAUACUGCUGUUAUGUCAUCCUUCUAUUUUAGAGUUUGACUUAUGACAAACGGUAUUUUUCCUUUCCUGUGAAAUAUUUAGUUUAGUUUACAACAAUAUAUUUAGGGUUGGCAGCUUUGAAAAUGUGUAUAUAUGAAUAAGUUAAAUAAUGUUGAUUUACCCCUUUUUGUGUGCUGAAAACUGCUAUGUACUGUGUAGAGGCCCAUGAACUAAUGAAUUUGCUUUCUCUCCCUGUGACACCUACCAGCUUCUAGAAUACUUUGCAUGGCUCCUGAUACACAAAAGCCACACAUAGCGUACCUAUGUGGAAAGUAACCAGUGUACAGCCUCCAGUUUGGAAGUGGGUGUUUUUGCUAUCAGUGUUUCAGUAUGAAAUGUAUUCGUUCAGCAAACCCUCUGCAAUGCCUGUGUGUCUCAUGCAGUGUACCUGACUGAUAGAGCAUAUGUAAAGACCAAGUAAAAACUGGCCCUUAUUCAUAACCAUCUCCUAGGAAAACAAAGCAAUAAAAGAAUGUAAAUUCUCAAUUAUAGUCUGCACAGGGUGUAUUUGCUGUGAAAGAGGGGAAAAGAGGGAGAGGAUACAAGAAAUUUGACGGAGAAAGAGUAGAGGAAAUAGGAGCAGGACUCACAUCUGGCAGACUGAAUCCUUGUGACUAUGAAUAUGCAUGUCUGUGCUUGAAAAUGCUGUUAUUUGUGGGUUCAGAGGCUUGAUUUCAUAUUCCUGCAUGUUUGUGCCUUUCACCUAAACACUUAAAUAAUUGGAUUAGCAAUCUUAUAUUCAUUCAUUAAUCUCUCCAGUUAAUUUAUUUUUAAACAAUCACUUGUAAAACCUAGGGGAAUUUCUAAAUUAAUCCCACUGUGAGGACAUUUCAGAAACUGAGAGAUUAUUAGAAAGGCCAACAUCAAUUAUGAAGCCAGGAAUUCAGCAAUACACGGGUACUAGAAGCUAUUGACAAAUGGGAGCUAGGUUAAAAGAAAGUCCCCAUGUUUCAUGCACUGUGGUAGGCUGUGGGUUUGUCAGGGACAUUCAGGAACUUUGCAGGUGUCUCAUGCAGAAAAUCAUGCGGGCAUAUCCUAACCCCACUGCCAGUGGUCUGUAAAGAUUUGUCACAGUUAUUUAUCCAGGAGGUGUUUUACACUCACACACCCACACAUGCAUGCACACACACACACACACACCUCUUAUAAAUUAGAAUCCUGGAACACUGAUUGAAUCACAGAGCUAGCUGGUGUUAGAGACUCUAAAGCCUCAAGGAAUGUCUAUCAUACGUGUUUUCCAUAAUAAGUUAUUUAGUUUAAUUCAGAGCCACUGCCUGCCAUUCCUCUGGCUUUGCUUGUCUGUUUUGGCCCCGCAAGAGAACCCUGAAAUUGAAGUCUCUGCCUCAUUUAAAAGGCAGGGACAGAAGGGGCAGCCCCAGCAUCUGAGCCCUUCACACUGAGAAUGACACCAUCUUACCUGGAAGUGUCCUCCAUUGUUGCUGUCACACUUGAAGCUGCCUGUUCUCACAGCUAUAUUGCAAUCAGUCUUCACUACAUAACAUUUAGCAUUCUUGGCCCUUGGCGUUUAGCUAUACCUACUUUAAUUUGCACCUUAGAGCUAUAUAGGUUAUGGCUGAGCCAGAUAUUAGUCUUCAUCCUCCGCAGUGGUUUAGACAACGCAGUGCAUCACUUUAACCACAACAGAUUCCAUAUAGUAAUAACUUAAAUACCUGUAUAUUAGUUUCCUAUUGCUUCAUUAAAAAUUACCACCCACUUAGUGGCUUAAAGCAGCAUACAUUUAUCAUUUCACAGUUUCCAUAAGUCUGCCAUGGAUCAACUGUGUUCUCCGUUUAGGACCUUGCAAGGCUGAAAUCAACUUGUCACUCUCACAGACACACCCAGGAUUAUGUUUGCUCAAAUGUCUGGGCACCCCGUGGCUCAGUCAUGUUGACACAUAAAAUUAACCAUAACACCAAGCGUCUUGACACAGCUUGUAAAUUAACCAUUAUAUUUUAAUUCCCUUUUUAUCUUAAAUGAUCUAUUUCCCUGUUUUCAUACCUAUAAAAUGGAGCUGUGAAUAAUUUUACUUUGUUAGUUUCAUGUUUAUUAAUUUUAAGGUUAUAUGUGUGAAUAGGCAAAACAGUUAAUCAGGCAGUUGAUGUUCUUUACUGCAAAAGGGAACUUUUACCAUGUGGCAUGCAGACUUUUAAUAGUUAUGAAAUUUUUACCACAUAGCAAGUUCUUCUACAAGCUCUUUAAAUGCUUUACCUCAUUUGAUUCCUAAGUACCUUUAUUAUCCCUAUGUUCAUAGGAAGACAUUUUGUAUAACACACAGAAGCUAAGUAAUUUAUCCUAAAUGACAUCUUUUAAGUGGCAGGCCCAGGAUUGGAAUCUAUGACUGUAGAACCAGUCUUCCUAUCCAAUUAUUGUGACCAUAUAAUUUAUCAUUCAAACACGUCAAAGAGAGAAAUAUUAAAAUUAUGCCUCCACAAUUGGCAUAAGACAAAAAGUCAGACAUAUCAAGCCAAUUGCUCACUACAUGACAGUUUUGUUUUUUUUUGUUUUGUUUUUUUUUUGCUUACACCUAACAGAAAAAUCUUACUUAGACUGGCUAAAUCAAAAAGCAAGUUCAUAAUCUCACAGCAUUUGUAACAUCCUCAUGACAUGACUUUUUCUUCCUCUACUAUGUUGUUCCUGUCAACAUACAUACUGGUGUUAUUUUUGCCAUGUUAAAAAAAAUGCAAACACCAAAAACCUGUUUACCUCACUCCUUUUACUUGCUUAGUGCCAUUUAUCUGUUCCCCAAUUGCAAGCUUCCCACAGAGCGUUGUCUAUGGUCACUGUGUCCCAUUUCUCUCCUCCUAUUCUGUCUUAAUCAUACUUCAGCCAGGCCUACGCACCUUCCACUAAACAAACUGUUCUUGUCAAGGUAACCAUGACACCAAUAUUUCUAAAUCGAAUGGCUAUUUCGCAGUCUUCUCCUUAAUUUACCUAUUUAUACUUUUGGAUAGAGUUAGUGUGGGCGGUGGCUUGCUCCUGUAAUCUCAGCACUUUAGGAGGCCAAGGAGA